AAACGCUUUUGGAGUUACUAUUCCAUAAAUAUUUUGGUCUUGUUGUUUUGGCUUAUGCCAAAAAAAAAAAAAAAAAAGAAAAGUGAUGCUAAGGUGCUAAACGCACAGUUUCGCUAACCGGUUGUCACAGGGAGGCGUGCCUCCACUCAGGUGUUUGUGACUCCGCCCCUUUCACGCAGGUGCAACUAAUUGCUGAUUACCUUCUCCUCCCUCAUAUUAAGGUUGGUGGUCACCUUUCUCUCUCUCUCACUAUUCACUGGCUUGUCUGAGGAAAGCACCCGCCUCACUGCCUCACAACUCAGGAAGUAGGACCAAACCACCUUACCUGCGACCUGCACGUACCCUGACUGCCAUUUUGUAUCUCCUGCAGCUAUGCUCUCCCAUAGCCCUUGAAAGUUGAGGACGAUGAGGUCAUCGUAUGUGGCGCCUUGCAGCACUGGUGAGCGCGAAUGGAGGAAUGAGCCAAAUCACACCUGGAAGUGAGAUGGAUGUCGAAAUGCCUCAGAUGGAUUGAAACAGAAUUGUGUGAGGAUUGUCGAGCUUCAUCAGCAUGCCACCAGAGGGCCACAUUACAACAAGUACAAGGUAUAUCAUUUUUUUUGUAACUAUUAUGACAAAUUGGCCUGUUUUAAAAAAA